rnacentral:tRNA from 1 species
AGUGCUGCGGGCGGGGUCGACGUCGACAUCGCUCAGACCGAUGUGUACUACUUCGCCCCGCAGAAGAACUUCGCCUCUGACGGCGGACUGUACUUC